CGCGGGGUGGAGCAGCCCGGUAGCUCGUCAGGCUCAUAACCUGAAGGCCGCAGGUUCAAAUCCUGCCCCCGCAG
rnacentral:tRNA from 1 species